rnacentral:rRNA from 1 species
AUGGUGGGCGCCCCGAGAGGACGACUACGGCGUCUUCAGGUGGACAACAUUGAUGAAAGUGACUUAUUUGAUGAUAUGGUUCAAGAGAUGGAACAGAUUUUACUCAAUUCAGGGGAGCCGCGUGAAAGUGGACUUUCUACUGAUAACCGCGUUAAUAAUGCUCACCAAAAUCAGCAUUUCAGAGAUGGCAGCACCACUGCCUCUACCACUGGUACAGAUGAUGCAUAUGUAUAUCCCCUUUCUCGCAAUCUUUCGAAAAUUGAUUCGGUGGAGGUUGUGGGGGCAAAGCAAAGAACAGGGGAUGUUUCUUUCGGCGAGCGGAUGGUUGGGGUCAAAGAGUACACUGUAUACUUGUUGAAAGUGAGGAGUGGCGAAGAUGAGUGGGAAAUUGAGCGUCGAUACCGUGAAUUUUAUGCACUUUAUCAACAACUCAAGCUCUUCUUUUCUGAGAAAGGAUUGAGUCUUCCACCCACAUGGAUAAAUGUUGAGAAAGAGUCCAGUAAAAUGUUUGGGAAUGCAUCCCCAGAUGUUGUCAAUGGAAGAAGUGGUCUUAUUCAAGACUGCUUAUGCUCUUUGCUCGCCUCUAAUUAUCCCUUUGGAACACCCUCCCCUCUGGUUAAUUUUUUGUCACCGGGGACACCUGCUUAUGAACAAAGCUUUUUAAAGAUGCUUUUUCCGCGAUCUUUGAAAAGGCUGAGCAGCGAUUUACAUACCAAAGAUUCAGACUGCAAUGGAGCUCUGCACAAGGAUUCUACCUCGAUGGGCAAGACGAUAUCACUUGUUGUGGAGGAUAGGCCUCAGAAGUCGACUAGACAGUUGUUGGAGUUUCAACACUACAAUUGUGCGGGAUGUCAUAGGCAUUUGGAUGCUGGACGAACAUUGCUGCAAGAACUUGUACAAACUAUUGGAUGGAACAAGCCUCGGUUUUGUGCUUACACUGGACAGUUAUUUUGUGCCUCUUGUCACACAAAUGAUACCGCGGUUCUGCCAGCAAGAGUUUUACACCACUGGGAUUUUUCUUUAUAUCCAGUUUCCCAGCUAGCAAAAGCAUUUUUGGACUCCAUCUAUGACCAGCCUAUGCUCUGUGUAACUGCUGUCAACCCUUUCCUUUUUGCUAAAGUGCCUGCUCUGCUUAACAUCAUGAGUAUCCGGAAGAAAAUAGCUGCCAUGCUUCCUUGUCUCCAAUGUCCUUUUCAGAACUCCAUAUUUAGAGGAUUAGGAGUUCGAAGAUACCUUCUUGAUGGGAAUGACUUUUUUGCGCUUCGUGACCUUGUCGAUCUCUCGAAGGGAGCUUUUGCAGCACUUCCAGUUAAGGUGCAGACCGUAUCAAAUAGGAUACUUGAACAUAUCACGGAGCAAUGCCUUGUGUGCUAUGAUGCUGGCUUUCCUUGUGCUGCUCGACAAGCUUGUGAUGACCCCCUGGCCCUUAUUUUUCCAUUUCAGGAAGAUGAAGCUACAAGAUGUGGUUCUUGUGGGUCAAUUUUCCACAAACAAUGCUUCAGGAAAAUUAGUGUCUGCCCCUGUGGUAAGAGUGCCAGCACAGGCACGAAAAUCGUGGCACUAGAACAAGCUAUAGAAUACGGCUCAAACAGGCUGUCAACUGAGUUCAUCCCACCCCCUUCUUUUUCUUCAUCGUCAAGAUUUUUCGCCGGUAUUCUUUCGAAAGCAAGGUCAGAUAGGAUUUGGAAACCGAGAGACAGCAAUCCUGUGAUUUUGAUGGAUUCAUUGCUGGAUACGUCUAUGUGA